rnacentral:lncRNA from 1 species
UGGAAAUGUAAAUGAGGAAAAUACCUAAUAAAAAUAUAAAAAAAACAGUUUGGAGAAAACAUCGAAGCUAUUGGGAUUCUUUGAUUUGUCUCAAUGAGUUUAGAUGUCCUGUGCAUUGUUUUCAAUUGUAUAGGUAGGUCCAUCAUAUUUCCUAAAAAUAUAAACUCAUUCCUGAAAUCCCCUUUAACUUGUAUCCAUCAACAGUUUGACUCAUCCAAAGUGUUAAACAACUACUGUUGGCCAGACUUUAUGUUAAGCAAUGACUAUUUCAAGAAAAGUUACUGUUUAACUUCAGUCUCUAUGGGUUUCUAUAUAAAAGUUCCCUUUGUUACUUGAACUUUUUCAGGUUCUCGGUACUAGGUACUCCACCAGGGACAGACUGUAGAAACAAUGGCACUCAAAUGUAGCUCACCAAACCAUUGAGUUUGAUUGGGGCUAGUUACAGGAAUGGGGCUGAGAAGAGAAGACAGAACUGUGUCCCAAACUGUUGACUGUGUGACUCCCACAAGGAAAGGGGCCUCAUUCCUGAGCUCUCAUGGAGUGUCUUGUGUGCUUAGCUUGGGCUUCUUCCUUUUUGUGACCCAAUCUUGUGCUGAGCUCUGAUUCUGAGACAGGAUUGGUUACUUCAAGCCUAGAGUACAGAGAUACUCAAGUAAGCUUGGUUUUUUUUUUUUUUUUUCCUUUGUGUUAGCCACUUUCAUAUCACUGUGAGCAAAACAUCUGACAAAAAUAACUCAAAAGAGGAAUCAUUUAUUUUGGCUCAAUUCUGGCCCCCGGAUUCCUGAAAGUUUCCAUGUGUAGUGAGUUGGCUCCAUGUCCGUUAGUAAAACAUCCUGGCACUGAUAUGUGUAAUUACACUGUUCACACUGAGGUGAACUAGGAACCACACAGAUGAGGACUGGAACUUGUGUUCUAUCCCUAGUGACUUACUUCACCAGCAAGACACCACUCCUGGAGAUUCCACUGCAUCUUGAUAUGGUACCAAAUAUCUGAAAUAAAAAGAUAUCUGUCUACACAGUGGGAGAAGGAGGAUCCGCAGCCGAUACUAGGUCUGUCAGAACUUUGACUUUGAACUUUGAGCGUCUGGAUCUAUAAGAAAUGAAUGUUCUGUUUUUACCGACCCUAGAUAUCAGAUCCUAUUCUAGCAGAGCAAACUGGUUAAGACAAAGGGCCUCUUGAUAUAAACAUUGCUCAACUGCAGCAGAAAAUACAUGUUUUUGCAUGUAUGGGUCCUUGUCUGUCAAAUCUCAAAAGAUGCUAUCUUCCAUCUUCAUUUUAG